AGACAGAGUCUUCCUAUGUUGCCCAGGCUGGACUCAAACUCCUGGCCUUAAGGUGUCCUCUUGCCUCAGCCUCCCAAAGUGCUGAGAUUACAGGUGUGAGCCACCGUGUCUGGCCAUACAUACAUACGUUCACGAGACACCCGAAACUGCUUAUUUUAUGGCAGCCUAACCACAUCACACCCAGCAUCUCACUUGAGACAAAUCUGUCGUCUGAGCAUAUUGAAGCCUUGCUGUGACUCGACUGGUUGAAGGACUUGCGAAAUUGCACGGUUCUGAAGAGACAACCCGAGGAACGAGGAUCCAGCAAGAAAUCCCCCCAAACUUGAUGGAAUUCUUUCUCCACCACUGCUGCAAGAGGACCAGAUCUCCCUCUGCCAACAGAUGGGGCGGGGUAACACUGGAAAUAUGUUACAGGCCAGGUUCAGAUGCCACAAGAGUAGCCUCAAGAUUUUGCACAUAACUUCGGAAGAAACCCCAGCAUAAUAGAAAGGUCUUCUCAAGAAUUUUUCUGGAUUUACUGUGCAACUUCCCUGGUCCCUUACUUUUCUUGCCACUUUUGUUAUUACCCCUCACAAGUGUAGCCUCGUGUUUGCUUUUAUUUGAUUUGCAAUUCUCUGUCUUAUAAAGAUUGUCCCGGUUCUUAAUUUCGUGUUUCCCAAAAAUCUACCUAUUGCGUCCAUUGUGGCAUUCCUGGCACCUAGAACAAUAUUUGCCUCAUAGGACAUGCAUCUAUUUGACCUUGCCUUACGUACAUCCUGUUCUCUUCUUCACUUUUGUCUCAGGUCCAACAGUUGAAACUAUGCAUUCCAAGUAGAAUCUGGUUGGAAUAAAAGGAUCUGAACCAGCUUUAAUCAUCAAAGGAAAAAUAUGCUGUUUAUAAUAUUGAAAUAAAAAUAGGGAAGAUUUCAAUUCUUUGGGAUAAUUACCCAGAAGUGGAAUUGCUGGAUCAUAUGGUAAUUGUAUUUUUAAUUGAGAAACCUCCAUACUGUUGUCCACAGCAUUAUACUAUAUUGCACUCCCAUCGGUGGUGUGCAAAGAUUCCAAUUUCUCCAUAUCUGCAUUAACACUUGUCUUUUUUUUAAAUCACUGUUGUUUUGAUUUGUAGUUCUUUGAUGACUAGGGGCAUUGGGCAUUUUUUCAUAUACCUGAUGGUCAUUUGUAUGUCUUCAUUGGAAAAAUGUCUUUUCAAGUCCUUAAUCCAGUUUUUAAUCAGGUCAUUCAUUUUUUUUUCUUUUUCUAUUGCCUUGUAGGAGAGCCUUCUAAAUAUUGGAGAUGACCCUUUAUCAGAUAUAUGUGUUUCAAAUAUUUUUUCCCAUUCCAUUGGUUGUCUUUUCACUCUGCCAAUUGUUUCCUUUGCUAUGCAUAAGCUUUUUAGUUUGAUAUAGUACCAUUUGUUUAUUUUGUUUUUGUUACCAGAAUUAAAAUCAGGAUCCAAAGAGAUAUUGACAUUCUCAUGUCUGUUGCAGCGCUAUUAAUAACCAAGAUGUAGAAACAACUAAAGGUCCAUCCACAAAUGAAUAGAUAGAGAAAAUGUGGUGCACACAUACAAUGGAAUGCUAGUCAGCCUUUACAAAGGAGUAAAUUCUGCAAUAUGUCACAACAUGAAUGAACUUUGAGGACGUUAUGUUAAAUGGAAUAAGCCAGUCACAGAAAGAUGAAUACUGCAGGGUUCCAAUUACAUGAGGUAUCUCGAACAGUCAAAUUUAUAGGAUCAAACAGUGGAAUGGUGGUUGUCAGGGCAGGGGAAAGGGAAAAUAGAGUUACCAAUCAGUUAAGCAAGAUGAAUAAGCUUCAGAGAUCAGCUACACAACACUGUCUUUAUAAUCAACAAUAAUAUGCUAUACACUUAAAAUUUGUUAACAGGGUAGAACUUAUUUAUGUUAUGUGUUCUUACCACAAGAAAAUAAAACUUUUUUUUUCUUUUGAGAUGGAGUCUCACUCAGUCGCCCAGGCUGGAGUGCAGUGGUGCAAUCUUGGCUCACUGCAACCUCUACCUCCCAGGUUCAAGCGAUUCUCACGCCUCAGCCUCCCAAGUAGCUGGUACUACAGGCAGGUACCACCACACCUAGCUAAUUUUUUGCAUUUUUAGUAGAGGUGGGGUUUCACCGUGUUAGCCAGGAUGGUCUCAAUCUCCUGACCUUGUGAUCCACCAACCUCGGCCUCCCAAAGUGCUGGGAUUACAGGCGUAAGCCACUGUGCCCAGCCAAAACUUUUUAGAAAGUAUGAAAAAUCACACUUUUGUAAAGUGCGGGAAAAUCUUUUGUUAAGAAAAUAUGGCUAAGGGGAUAAAUGAUGUUUGCAAUUGUGUACAAUGCUCUAGGAGUUGAAGUUUGCGAAGAAACCAAUUUUUUCAAAUAAGCAUUUAAUUUAUUCAUUCAAUAAUUCUAAUUAUGUACCUGGCCGUGUUUUAAGUAUUAGAUGCAGGAAUGAAAUGACAGAUUAAGUAUCUUUAUUGCAUCAUGUAUUUAAAAGGUGGGAGACAGAAAAUAAAGAUGUAAACAAAUACAUAUGGCCAUUUCUCAUGUUAGUAAUUGCUAUGAUGUGAUUAAAGCUCAGUAGUUGGAUAGAGUGUUUCUAAAGGAGGAGUGGUCAGGAAAGGCUUCUAUGAGGACCGAGUGAAGAGAAGCAGAGAGUCAAGUGCAAACCGAGGGGAGAUUAUUCCAGGUACAGAAAUGAGUAAGUGCAAAGGCACAGUGAGCUCAGCAGGUCCUCGGGACAGGAACCGGGAAGAAGUGAUGGGGGCAGACAGAGGCACAAAGCAGGCCAAGGUCUGGCAGAUGGCACAGGGAAUGUUUUUAUUCUAACUUCACAAAGAAGUCGUUAGAAGGUAAAAACCUUUCUCCACUCUAAGUGGAGGGUGAAGCUCUAAUCUGCUUUUAAAGAUCAGGGAAGUUGCUGUUGAAAAGAUUUAGUGGGCUCUAUUAGUAACACAAAGUCUAGGCUUGAUACUCUGAGAUUCCGAAACAGAUAUCCAGUUGUGUAAGAGUUAUGAUGAAUAAGAGAGAAACUUAUUUAUGUUACAUUUUAAAAAUUCACACCAAAAUAAAAGACAACUUAGAAAACACGGAUAGUAGACUUAACAGGAACUCCAAUUAAUGAAUAUUUAAAUAGCCAAUGAAUAUAUUAAAAUAUGCUGCUAAUAUAAAUAUGCUGACUAAUGUCAUUGGUCAACAAGGGAAUGCCCAUUAAAAAUCACAGUCAAUUCCACUUCGUCCCUACCAGAACUGCUAAAAGCAAACUAAUCCACAGCAGUAAAAAUCCUCUUUAAGUAUGUGGAGCAACUAGAACUGUCACAGACUGCUGGUGGGGCUGAAGCCGCUCGAGAAGUCUGCUUGGUACUAUCUGCCAAAGGGGUGCUGGGCUGGCUGACCAGCUUGCGAGAUGCACCACUGGUUGCUUGAAAUUGGCAAAGGUGAAAAGAUUUGCACCUCAGAAAUUGGCAAGUGCUGUAAAUCAGAGUGCUUUUUCUUCUUUUUUCUCAGACUCUGGUUGUUAAACACCAUCAGCAUCCAGCAUCCUCAUACUCCUAGCUGGGUCAUCUAUGAUCCAGGCAUUUCUAUCUUUGGUAAAGUAUGGAAUAUUCAUAAAAUGGAAUAUCAUACAGCAAUGAGAAUAAAGUAAUAACAGGCAGCAUCAUGGCUGGGUCUCAGAAACGUAAUGCUGGGGCACAAUAAGCCAGAAAUGAAGGGCUUAUAAUUGUGUGAAGUUCAAAGUUAGCCUAAACAAACCUGUAGUUUAGGCUAACCACAGAAGUGUGGUAUUAUAAAUCGGAAUAGGUGAAAUGCUCCCUGGGGAGAUGGUAGUGACUGGUAGGAGGGAUGAGUUCUGACAGUGCUGUCUUCCUGGAUAUGUGUGCUGGUUGCAUAGGUGUGCUCAAUUCGUAAAAAUUUACAAAACUGUGCUCUUAGGCUUUGGACAGUUUUUCUAUGUAUGUAUGUUACACUUUAAUAAAACAGUAAAUAUUCGCCAAUCAA